rnacentral:lncRNA from 1 species
AGAAGCAGAUUCUGGCCAGGAUCCACAUUUCAAACUAUGCCUGGAGAGACUAACACCUUCCUCAGAGCCUGUGUGCAGGGCUGGAGGGUCUGAUGAUUUUAUGGGCUGUCUUGACAGAGAUUAUUGGAGACUCCUUUGGUCUGCUGAUGUGAGUUGAACCAGGGAUGGUGAAAAUCAGGGGGCAGAGAAGGGUAACUAGGGGCCUGGGCGUCAGCUCCGAGUCCCUUCUCCCUGGAUGAUUUGUCAGGAGCCUUGAGCUCAGUCUAGCUACAGCAUCUUCUUCACCAUCUGCUAGUUAUAACACUCCUAAACCCCUGAGUCUGAUGCCUGAGAGGAGUGAUGGUCUGGUAGGAUUUGGAGGGGGGCACAUGCAUGAAGACAAACGGCCAUUUAAUCAUACUCAAUGCUGGUGAGCUGGAGCUGAGAAAUUAGCAGUGACUAAGAAAAGUCCAGCAUUACUGAGGUGAAAUCUUCUGGGAAGUGUUUUCUGAGAGCACACAGAAGCUGUGUUCCAGAGAUGGCCAAAGUUGUACUCUCCACUGGCAGCCAAAUUUGGUCAUGUGGAAGAGUCACCCAGGUGACACUGGUUUUAAGGUAUGAAGGGUCACGGAGAGCAGCUGAGUCUUGGCAUUGACAAUACAGCCUCAGUGGCAGUUGAAGGCCCAGGAUUGAAGGGGUCAUGCAGAGAAGUUGAGGCUUGUCACCUUGAAGGGAGCCCAGGAGAGACUACUGGUAAAAGUGCAGCCCCGUUGCAGCAGAAGACCCCAGCAUUUUGGAGAUGCAAGUACCAUGGGAUGACCAUCAAGAACAGCAGCAGCAGUGGAGUGGAGUCAGCCAGAUCCUAAAAGACGAGCUGUCUGUGCUGCAGAGGGGCUGAGCUGCAGAAGUAACUCAAGCCCCUUAGAGGAGCCCAGAAGCUCUGAGUGGAUCUCAGACGUUGGAAGAUGCACUGUUUACACUUUGGGAGUUUGGUUUUGCUUUGCUUUGAUUGUGAUUUCGACGUAGUUCUUCUCUCUUGAAAUAAGAAAGCAUUUCAUUUAUUUUUGAUUUUAUGGAAGUCCACAAGUUGAGAGACUGAAUUUUAAAAGACUUAAACUUUAAAAGAGAUUGAUUAUCUUAAAGAGAGAGAACUUUUAAUGUAUUUGAGUUUGUGAGGAUUGUGGAGCUCUUAAGUUGUUAAUGUUUUAUAGUGUGAUAUUAAUAUCAACCUAACAUCUUGGGGAUAAGUGAGAAAAGAAAGGUUCUGAUUAAAAAGUGAUAUGUUGGGCCUUGAGCUCAGCAAUUUAGAGCACUGGCUGCUUAUCCAGAGGUCCUGAGUUCAAAUCCCAGCACCCACAUGGUGGCUAACAGUGUCUGUAACAGUAGUCCCAUGGGAUCCAAUACACUCUUCUAGUGUAUAGGAGUACAUGCAGACAAAACCACCCAUAUACAUAAAAUAU